AUUGAACGCUGGCGGCAGGCCUAACACAUGCAAGUCGAGCGGAUGAGGAAAACUUGCUUUUCGAUUCAGCGGCGGACGGGUGAGUAAUGCCUAGGAAUCUGCCUGUUAGUGGGGGAUAACUCGGGGAAACUCGGGCUAAUACCGCAUACGUCCUACGGGAGAAAGUGGGGGAUCUUCGGACCUCACGCUAACAGAUGAGCCUAGGUCGGAUUAGCUAGUAGGUGAGGUAAUGGCGCACCUAGGCGACGAUCCGUAACGGGUCUGUGAGGAUGAUCAGUCACACUUGAACUGAGACACGGUCCGGACUCCUACGGGAGGCAGUAGUGGGGAAUAUUGGACAAUGGGCGAAAGCCUGAUCCAGCCAUGCCGCGUGUGUGAAGAAGGUCUUCGGAUUGUAAAGCACUUUAAGUUGGGAGGAAGGGUAUUCACCUAAUACGUGGGUACUUUGACGUUACCAACAGAAUAAGCACCGGCUAACUCUGUGCCAGCAGCCGCGGUAACAC
rnacentral:rRNA from 1 species